UACGGGGGGGCAAGCGUUGUCCGGAAUUACUGGGCGUAAAGCGCACGCAGGCGGUCUUUUAAGUUUGACGUGAAAGCUCCCGGCUUAACUGGGAGAGGUCGUUGAAGACUGGGAGACUUGAGGCAAUGAGAGGGGUGUAGAAUUCCUGGUGUAGUGGUGGAAUGCGUAGAUAUCAGGAGGUAUACCAGUGGCGAAAGCGGCACCCUAGCGUUGUUCUGACGCUCAUGUGCGAAAGCGUGGGGAGCGAACGGG
rnacentral:rRNA from 1 species